rnacentral:rRNA from 1 species
GAUGAACGCUGGCGGCGUGCCUAAUACAUGCAAGUCGAGCGAACAGACGAGGAGCUUGCUCCUCCGACGUUAGCGGCGGACGGGUGAGUAACACGUGGAUAACCUACCUAUAAGACUGGGAUAACUUCGCGAAACCGGAGCUAAUACCGGAUAAUAUAUUGAACCGCAUGGUUCAAUAGUGAAAGACGGUUUUGCUGUCACUUAUAGAUGGAUCCGCGCCGCAUUAGCUAGUUGGUAAGGUAACGGCUUACCAAGGCAACGAUGCGUAGCCGACCUGAGAGGGUGAUCGGCCACACUGGAACUGAGACACGGUCCAGACUCCUACGGGAGGCAGCAGUAGGGAAUCUUCCGCAAUGGGCGAAAGCCUGACGGAGCAACGCCGCGUGAGUGAUGAAGGUCUUCGGAUCGUAAAACUCUGUUAUUAGGGAAGAACAAAUGUGUAAGUAACUAUGCACGUCUUGACGGUACCUAAUCAGAAAGCCACGGCUAACUACGUG